rnacentral:ncRNA from 1 species
CCCGCUGAACUUAAGCAUAUCACUAAGGGGAGGAAAAGAUACUAACCAGGAUUCCCCUAGUAACGGCGAGUGAAGAGGGAUUAGAUCAGCACCGAAGCCCGGUAAGUUAACUGCUAGGAAAAGUGGUGUUUGGGUCAACUCGCGGGAUUUCCACUCCACUCGAAGACCAGCACUGGGUAUGGUUCCAUGGAUUUGGCCCAGAGAGGGUGAAAGGUCCGUGCGAGUGGAGUUAUGGACAUGUGAGGCAAUUCAACAGGUCAACCUUCGAGUCGGAUUGUUUGGGAAUGCAGCCCAAAGUGAUUGGUAAAAUCCAUCCUAGGCUAAAUAAAUGCACGAGUCCGAUAGUGAACAAGUACCGUGAGGGAAAGUUGAAAAGUUUUUUGAAGAGAGAGAGCGAGAGAGAGUAAACAGUACUUGAAACUGCAUAUCGGUAAAGUGGCGGCCUCAAGCUGUAAACCUAGAGGAUUCAGUUGGUUGGGGUGUAUGCGCGCCUGGCGCGUCUUUCGGACGGACAGUUCACUACGAAAAGGUGGGCCUGGCAUUCCCUCGGGAGGGAGAGGAUUGGCGUUCCGGGAAGAUGCCAGAGCCGACUGUUUUGGCUGUCUGCGCAUAAUGUGGAUGGAUCGGCCAAUGCACUUCCUCUAUCUGGUGAUCACCAUGACUGGUGGAACUGCCCGUCUGCCGUAGUCAAAUCGGGUUUGUUUGGUGGCUCCUCUGGGGUCGUUGGCUGAGCUUUGAUCCUCA